rnacentral:lncRNA from 1 species
CCAUACUCGAUUCGGCUACAUCAAACCCCUAGAUAAUUUGUUUAGUUCAUGAUAUAAUAAAUAAAAAUCAUACAAAUUAUAAUAAACAACAUAAGGAAAAGGAUAGAAAAAACUAGUCUUUUAGGUAGAUCUUCAAUCUUCUUCCUUGAUGUUGUUCCUCCUUCCUUUUGAUAUCUUCAAUUUUUGCCUCCUUCAAAUUGUGUAGUUGAAUUUUUCAAUCUUGCCCUCUUCCAUCCCCCUUGAAAAUAGAUCUUUCAAAUGGUAUUUAUAGUAUCUUGAAGUUAUUGGACGAAGUAGGGUUGAGUUGGGCCAAGAAAAGAUUCUACAAAUAUAAAAUUCCAUUUUUCUGCAUAGGCGGCGCCUUGGCGCCGCUUAUUCUAUUAAUUUUCAGCAUCUUGGGCACUGCGUUGGGCGCCACGGCACCCACUUCGGGCGGAAAAUCCAGUUUUCGUCUCCUUCAGUAUUUUUACCAUAACUUCUUUGUUUGAUGUUUAAUUGAGGUGAUUCAAGAUGCGUUGGAAAGGUAACUCAAAGAGCUAUAACUUUUCUUCAAACAUCAUUUUCCAAUUCGAUUGUUUGCUAUGUCAGAAAUAGGUCUCAAUAUGAGACUGAAAUUCUGGAACAUAACUUUUUUAUUGGAAAUUGAUUUGUGAUCACAUUUUGCCUAAAUUUGAUCCCUUUGACAUCUUUCCUCAUCCAAUUGAUUCCUAACACUCUCGGAUCUUGAUGACAAAGUUCGAUACAAGUUUGUGUUAUUUACAUUUUAGUCCCCAAACUUUGGAUCUUUUACAGUUUGGCCCAUUCUCUCCAAUUUUGCCAACUUUUUCUUAAUUCCUCCAAUUUCAUCAAUCUACAUCACAACAUCAAAACACACAUUAAAACAUUCUAAAACACUCUCAAGAGUAGCAAAAUAACAAAUUAGGUGGCAUAAAUAUCAUGAGUGUAGAUCACUCAUCAAACCACAAGAGAGAAGAAAAAUCACGAGUAAAUUUCUUUGCAAAAGAGAGUAAGUUGAGGAGGCAAUAAUCGAGAGAAGAGAGAUAUUUUUAUUGUUAUAUAAGGAAACACUCCUCAAUUUUGAGGAAGCUAACACCCCCUCCCUAGUUUGGCUAAAACUGUUUUACAAGAAUUUCAAGAUGUAUUCCCGGAGGACAUACCGAGUGGAUUGCCACCCAUUCGAAGAAUUGAACAUCAAAUUGACUUCAUACCUAGAGUAUUCAUUCCGAAUCAACCAGCUUAUCGAAGUAAUCUAGAGGAGACCAAGGAACUUCAGAGGCAAGUGGAGGAGUUGAUGGGAAAAUGCUAUGUUAGGAAAAACUUGAGUCCGUAUGCAGUUCCAAUGUUGUUGGUGCCAAAGAAAGAUGGAACAUGGUGAAUGUGUGUAGAUUGCAGAGCCAUCAACAAUAUAGCAGUAAAGUAUUGUCAUCCUAUCCCUAAGUUAGAUGAUAUGUUAGAUGAGUUGUAUGAUGCAUGUGUUUUUAGCAAAAUUGACUUUAAGAGUGGGUACCAUCAAAUUCGUAUGAGGAAAGGUAAUGAGUGGACAACUGCAUUUAAAACUAAGUAUGGUUUGUAUGAAUGGUUAGUUAUGUUUUUUGGAUUCACAAAUGCACCAAGCACUUUUAUGCACUUAAUGAAUCAUGUUUUACGUGCUUUCAUUGAAAAAUUUGUUUUAGUAUAUUUUGAUGAUAUCUUAAUCUAUAACAAAAAUCUUGAUGAGCAUGUUAGACAUCUUCGUUGUGUGCUUGUAGUGUUGAGAAAGGAACAAUUGUAUGCUAAUUUUAAAAAGUGUAUAUUUUGCAUGGAUAAAAUGGUAUUUUUAGGAUUUGUAGUUAGUGUUAAUGAGGUUGAAGUGGACGAUAAGAAAAUUAAAGCUAUUAAAGAUUGGUCUACACCUAAAAGCAUAACUAAAGUUAGGAGCUUCCAUGGAUUGACUAGUUUUUAUAGGAGAUUUGUAAAAGACUUGAGCAAAAUGACUACACCACUUACAAAGGUUGUUAAAAAAAGUGUGGGCUUUCAUUGGGGCGAUGAACAAGAGUAUGCAUUUAGAAUGAUUAAGGAAAGAUUAUGUAAGGCACCUGUUUUAGCAUUACUUGACUUUAACAAAACUUUCAAGAUUGAGUAUGAUGCAUCAGUAAUAGGUAUUGGAGCAGUUUUAAUGUAGGACAAAAGAUCGAUAGCCUAUUUCAGUGAGAAGUUGAGUGGAGCAACAUUGAAUUAUCCAACAUAUGAUAAGGAGUUGUAUUCCCUUAUUCGGACAUUGGAGAAUUGGCAGCACUAUUUAUAGCCAAAGGAAUUUGUUAUUCACACUGAUCAUGAGUCAUUGAAGCAUUUGCAGGGGUCAAGAGGCAUGUCAGAUGGAUGGAGUUCAUUGAAACCUUUCCCUACGUCAUCAAGUAUAAGCAAGGAAAAGAAAACAUAGUGACAGAUGCAUUGUCUCGAAUGUAUACACUGCUAACUUUUCUUGGUUCUAAAUUGCUUGGCCUUGAACACAUUAAGGCAUUGUAUGAAAAGGAUUUAGAUUUUUCUGAAAUUUAUGAAUGUUGUAAUAAAAGGGCUAUUAACAAAUUCUUUAAAUACGAGUGUUAUUUAUUUCGAGAAAAGAGACUAUGUGUGCCUAAUUGUUCAAUACGAGAGUUAUUGGUGAGAGAGGCUCAUAGUGAUGGACUUAUGGGCACUUUGGGAUACAAAAGACCUUAGAGAUAUAAGAUGAGCAUUUCUAUUGGCCUAAGAUGAAAGUGAUGUUGAAAGAGUUUGUAGUCGAUGUAUAACUUGCAAACGUGCUAAGUCCAGAGAUUUACCUCAAGGACUAUACACACUAUUACAUACACCUAGUGAACCUAGGGUUGAUAUUUCAAUAAAUUUGUUUUAGGUUUACCUAGGACUAAGAAAGGACGGGAUCCAAUUUUUGUGGUGGUAGAUAUCUUUAGUAAGAUGACGCACUUCAUACCAUGUCACAAACUGACAAUGCCACACAUAUAGCUGACUUGUUCUUUAAGGAAAUAGUGCGUUUGCAUGGAGUUCCAAAAAAUAUAGUGUCAGAUAGGGACGUUAAAUUCUUAAGUCACUCUUGGAGAGUUUUGUGUGGGUAAGUUAGGCACAAAAUUGUUAUUUUCUACAACUUGUCAUCCACAAACUGAUGAACAGACUGAAGUAGUUAAUAGGACGAUGAUUCAAUUGUUGCGUACGGUAAUCAACAAGAACUUGAAACAUUGGGAAGAUUGUUUACCUUUUAUUGAAUUUGCUUAUAUUCAUGCUACUCACUUCACUACUUCGUUUACUCAGUUUGAAAUUGUUUAUGGUUUUAAUCCAUUAACACCGUUAGAUUUAAUUCCAUUACUGUGAAUGAACGAGGUAGUAUAGAUGGUAAAAAGAAAGCAGAAUUGGUGAAAACACAUCAUGAGAAGGUAAAGUUGCAGAUCGAGAACAAGAGCAAGCUUGUUGCGUUGCAGGCAAACAAAGAAAGAAAAUGCGUGACAUUCGAACUAGGAGAUUGUGUUUGUGUACAUUUCAGGAAGUAGCAUUUUUUGGAGCAAAGGAAAUCAAAGCUAUAACCGCAAGGAGAUGUUCCAUUUCAAGUCAUUGAGAAGAUCAACGACAAUGCUUAUAAACUAGAUCUUCCAAGUGAUUAUAAUGCUUCGGUAACUUUUAAUGUAUCUGAUCUUUCUCUCUUUGAUGUAGGUACAGAUUCGAGGACGAAUCCUUAGAAGAGGGAGGGGAUGAUGUGAUCCAAGAGUCAAGCCUCGACGAAGACAAGGCCAGAAUGAGACCCGUUGAUAAUCGAAGGCGGACCGAUGAUGAUACAAUCGAGAGAAAAGUGGGUGAAACAAGCGAUGGGAUUAUUUAUUCAAGCAAUCAUUGAUGGGAUGAUGUCGAGACGCAAAAUGAGGCAACUUUCAUGUUCAG